UACGUAGGGUGCAAGCGUUAAUCGGAAUUAUUGGGCGUAAAGCGCGCGCAGGCGGUCCUUUAAGUCUGAUGUGAAAGCCCACGGCUCAACCGUGGAGGGUCAUUGGAAACUGGAGGACUUGAGUACAGAAGAGGAAAGCGGAAUUCCACGUGUAGCGGUGAAAUGCGUAGAGAUGUGGAGGAACACCAGUGGCGAAGGCGGCUUUCUGGUCUGUAACUGACGCUGAGGCGCGAAAGCGUGGGGAGCAAACAGG
rnacentral:rRNA from 1 species